rnacentral:rRNA from 1 species
UACGGGGGGGGCAAGCGUUGUUCGGAAUUACUGGGCGUCAAGGGCUCGUAGGCGGCCAACUAAGUCCGACGUGAAAUCCCCAGGCUUAACUUGGGAACUGCGUCGGAUACUGGUUGGCUUGAAUCCGGGAGAGGGAUGCGGAAUUCCAGGUGUAGCGGUGAAAUGCGUAGAUAUCUGGAGGAACACCGGUGGCGAAGGCGGCAUCCUGGACCGGCAUUGACGCUGAGUGAGCGAAAGCCAGGGGAGCAAACGGG